ACCACACAGCAGAGGGACUCUCACAAGUUGUGGGAAUCCAGAUGCCUUCUCAGGCCACAGAGCCAAUUCCUCGGCCUCAGGCUCGGAGGUUCAGUCCAUUAUCAUCAAGGCAGGAACAUGGCAGCAUCCAGGCAGACACGGUGCAGAAAGAGCUGAGAGUUCUACAUCUUCAUCUAAAGGCUGCUAGGAGAAGACUGGCUCCCACGUGGUUAGGAGGAGGGUCUCAUUGCCCACCCCCACAGUGACACACUUCAUCCAACAAGGCCACACCUACUCCCACCAAAUUACAGCAACAUGCCUCAGACUGGCUGAAUCCUGAAUGGCAUUGCCUCCUUUGUCAUCUGUACUGUAUUGUGCAGUGUCACCUACCUUCAGCAGCUUGCUUCCCUGAUGCUCCGGGAUGAGAAUGCCUUUAAGCCCCCAUCAGUCUCUCUUCUCAGUGGCCUGUAAUUCUGAUUGCUUGUCUGUAAGUUCUUGAGACCCAACCCUUGGCCCACAGCUCAAGGGACUCUCAGGACAUAUGUAUAAAAUGCAUGGAUGAAUAAAUGCUGUAAAU